AAUAAUGUCAUUUCUCCAUCUUCUCCCUUGUUAUAUUCGUUUUUGUUGAAGUUUGAAUCGCCAUGUUCAGCUUCAGUUUGCUAUAUCUGGAUUUUUGUAGAUUUCUCCAUGUUAUGAUGAUGUUUCUCUCCUUGGUACGUCGUUGAAUUUCCUUUUCUGGAGAACGCAUAUCCAUCUGAUUUUAAAUUUGACGUUGCUAAACCUCUGAACUCAUCUUUUGCUUUAUGAAUCGUAUUAUUCCUGUGUAUAGAUAGACAAGCUAUAGAUUUGUAAAUGUAAUAAGUCUGUGACUUCUCUAUUUCUCCAGGAUUGUUGACACUGGUUCUGUAUUCAUUAAAUGUUGAUGCCUUCUCCUUGCCUUC